GACAAACGCUGGCGGCGUGCCUAAUACAUGCAAGUUGAGCGCUGAAGGUUGGUACUUGUACCAACUGGAUGAGCAGCGAACGGGUGAGUAACGCGUGGGGAAUCUGCCUUUGAGCGGGGGACAACAUUUGGAAACGAAUGCUAAUACCGCAUAAAAACUUUAAACACAAGUUUUAAGUUUGAAAGAUGCAAUUGCAUCACUCAAAGAUGAUCCCGCGUUGUAUUAGCUAGUUGGUGAGGUAAAGGCUCACCAAGGCGAUGAUACAUAGCCGACCUGAGAGGGUGAUCGGCCACAUUGGGACUGAGACACGGCCCAAACCCCUACGGGAGGCAGCAGUAGGGAAUCUUCGGCAAUGGACGAAAGUCUGACCGAGCAACGCCGCGUGAGUGAAGAAGGGUUUCGGAUCGUAAAACUCGGUUGGUAGAGAAGAACGUUGGUGAGAGUGGAAAGCUCAUCAAGUGACGGUAACUACACAGAAAGGGACGGCUAACUACGUG
rnacentral:rRNA from 1 species